rnacentral:rRNA from 1 species
GACGAACGCUGGCGGCGUGCUUAACACAUGCAAGUCGAGCGGUAAGGCCCUUUCGGGGGUACACGAGCGGCGAACGGGUGAGUAACACGUGGGUGACCUGCCCUCAGCUCUGGGAUAAGCCUGGGAAACUGGGUCUAAUACCGGAUAUGACUCCAUGACGCAUGUUGUGGGGUGGAAAGCCUUGUGCGGCUGAGGAUGGGCCCGCGGCCUAUCAGCUUGUUGGGGGGUGAUGGCCUACCAAGGCGACGACGGGUAGCCGGCCUGAGAGGGCGACCGGCCACACUGGGACUGAGACACGGCCCAGACUCCUACGGGAGGCAGCAGGUGGGGAAUCUUGCGCAAUGGGCGAAAGCCUGACGCAGCGACGCCGCGUGAGGGAU